CACGUAGGGCGCAAGCGUUGUCCGGAAUUAUUGGGCGUAAAGAGCUCGUAGGCGGUCUGUUACGUCGGCUGUGAAAACCUGGGGCUCAACCCCGGGCCUGCAGCCGAUACGGGCAGACUAGAAUUCGGUAGGGGAGACUGGAAUUCCUGGUGUAGCGGUGAAAUGCGCAGAUAUCAGGAGGAACACCGGUGGCGAAGGCGGGUCUCUGGGCCGAUAUUGACGCUGAGGAGCGAAAGCGUGGGGAGCGAACAGG
rnacentral:rRNA from 1 species